rnacentral:rRNA from 1 species
AUUGAACGCUGGCGGCAUGCCUUACACAUGCAAGUCGAACGGCCGCACGGGAGCAAUCCUGGUGGGGAGUGGCGAACGGGUGAGUAACGCAGCGUAACGUGCCCAGUCGUGGGGGAUAGCCCGGCGAAAGCCGGAUUACUACCGCAUACGACCCCUAAUUGAAAGCGGGGGACCUGCGGGCCUUGCGAGAGUUGAGCGGCCGGUGUCAGAUUAGGUAGUUGGUGGGGUAAAGGCCUACCAAGCCGACGAUGCGCAGCUGGUCUGAGAGGACGACCAGCCACACUGGGACUGAGACACGGCCCAGACUCCUACGGGAGGCAGCAGUAGGGAAUCUUGGACAAUGGGCGCAAGCCUGAUCCAGCAAUGCCGCGUGCGGGAAGAAGGCCUUCGGGUUGUAAACCGCUUUUGUCGGGGAAGAAAUACGCCGGGCUAACAUCCUGGCGGGAUGACGGUAACCGAAGAAUAAGCAACGGCUAACUACGUGCCAGCAGCCGCGGUAAGAC